GCGGCCAAUGUGGAGAGACUUAGGAUCCACCUCCUUCCCAGCUGAGAGCACACAACACAGCAUCCACUGGAAGUGAUUAUCAAGAAGAUGAGAAAAUUCUACAUGGAGAUAUUCUACCUCUGAAAGUCUGAGAUUGUUUGUUGAAGAGGGUAGCUGUUCCCCCUAACCCUCAUCAACGUCUAAGAUAGAAGUUGAGGUUUCCAGAUGAGUAAACUGAAGCACAGUGAUUAACAUGCCCAAGGUCGCCCAGUAGACUUAUUAAACCCAUUAUUUGUAAACUUGGAAGAGAAUGAUGAAAAUAAUAUUUUAGAAAGAUUAAUCUAGAUGAUGGUGAUGUGCAGAGUUAAAAUCCAAAUGUGAGGUAAGAAGGGAAUGGAAUGGAAGGAACAGGUAUAACUUUAACAAAAAUGGC